CUUACGUAGUUGCCGGCGUCAGGGGUAAUGCGGAGGGGGGAGACGUUAAUCGUAAGUAUUGUGCGUAAAGCGGUGGCAGGCGGUGUGUGAAGUCUGAGUGGAAAUCCCCGGGCUUAACCUGGGAAUGGCAUUUGUGACUGCCCGGGUAGAGUGUGUCAGAGGGAGGUAGAAUUCCACGUGUAGCAGUGAAAUGCGUAGAUAUGUGGAGGAAGACCGAUGGCGAAGGCAGCCUCCUGGGAUAACACUGACGCUCAUGCACGAAAGCGUGGGGAGCAAACAGGAUUAGAUACCCCGGUAGUC
rnacentral:rRNA from 1 species